AACGAACGCUGGCGGCAUGCCUAACACAUGCAAGUCGAACGAAGGCUUCGGCCUUAGUGGCGCACGGGUGCGUAACGCGUGGGAAUCUGCCCUUGGGUUCGGAAUAACUCAGAGAAAUUUGAGCUAAUACCGGAUGAUGACGUAAGUCCAAAGAUUUAUCGCCCAAGGAUGAGCCCGCGUAAGAUUAGCUAGUUGGUGGGGUAAAGGCCUACCAAGGCGACGAUCUGUAGCGGGUCUGAGAGGAUGAUCCGCCACACUGGGACUGAGACACGGCCCAGGCUCCUACGGGAGGCAGCAGUGGGGAAUUUUGGACAAUGGGGGCAACCCUGAUCCAGCCAUUCCGCGUGAGUGAAGAAGGCCUCGUGU
rnacentral:rRNA from 1 species